CAGGGCAUAAUUUAAAUAGAAUACUGGCUUUGGGGGUCAGUAGUAGAGGUUGAAGUCCUUUUGCCCUGA
rnacentral:tRNA from 2 species